GACAGAGGAUGCAAGCGUUAUCCGGAAUCACUGGGCGUAAAGCGUCUGUAGGUGGUUCGAAAAGUCCACUGUUAAAAAUUGAGGCUUAACUUCAAAGAUGCCGUGGAAACUUUCAAACUAGAGUAUGGUAGGGGUAGAGGGAAUUUCCAGUGGAGCGGUGAAAUGCGUAGAUAUUGGAAAGACCACCGAUGGCGAAGGCACUCUACUGGGCCACUACUGACACUGAGAGACGAAAGCUAGGGGAGCAAAUGGG
rnacentral:rRNA from 1 species